CUGUGUAUUCACAGCUCUCUCUGGAGUUCCUGACUUGUGUAUGGACCUGCUCUUAUUGGUACAGGUUUGCCUGAUGGCCUGGACCCUUGGGCAUUGUUCUUAGGCCUGUAAUGUCUGGGCUGAGGUUGUGCCUUGCCGUCCUUCUUAUCAAAUUUGGUUGGUGGUUUCUGACUUCUUCAAGAGAUGCUGCUCCUUGUUGUUCUCCAGAUCUGUUUUGUAGCAUUGCUGAGAUGUCUGUAGUAUGGAGCUAGUAGAGUAGUUGAUAGUAUGUAGCAAUAUGUACAUUAGGACUGUGCUUUAGAUUUAAAGUACAGGAAGAAAAUCUAGCAUGAGUACUAAUCAUGGAGGAUUAGGACUUCAGAGAACAGACGUUCAGAAUUAGGUGUACACAUAGGAGUUGGCAUCAGUGGCAAGGAAGGUAUGGAAGCAGCCUUAGCCAGUGACUGACAGCCCAGUUCAAAUACCUCCAGAGGCUCUUGGAGAUUCCUGGCAGGCAUUCCUGUUUGAAAAUGUGCAAGUUCCUACGCUUCCACAAAAUCUUACUUUUACACUGCUCUGUUUCUGCUCUGUCAUCUGUGACUUCU